rnacentral:lncRNA from 1 species
UUGGUGACAUUUUUCUAAUGACUCCACCUUGAGUAUGUCAAAAGCCAGUCAAUAUAGGAAGAGAAAUCUAGUUUCUUUUCUUCAUGGUAUGCAUGUUCAUCAUAAAGAACUCAGGCCUGGUGCUUACUCCUCUCACAUCUGCUCUUUCUCUGAACUGCCCUUCCCAAUUAUCUGCUUGUCCAUCUUAAAUACAAGCUCUUUUUCACUGUCUUUGAAAAGAAGAUUGUUUCUCUCCUCUGGAGUGGUCUGAGAAGCAUCUAUUUGGGUAGGAUAUCUGGGGGGAAAGGUUGAUUGAAGAGGUCACAACUCUUUGUAAAAAAAUGGUACUUGGUGGUUUGGGGAAUUAUAGUAUCCUUGGGAGGGAGUCAGUAAUAGAAAUCUAAUCCAUACAUUUAGGAUGGACUUUUUGUUUUCUUUUAGUCCUCUGUAAAAGCUCUUUGUUCUUGUUUGAUCAUGGCAUGCCAGUGUAACAUAAGCACUGGCAGUUCCCACAGGAUGAGAAAGGCCUUUAUGUCCAGUCUUGGUGACACUUUGAGUUAACUUUUCAAAAAUCCACCUCAUAGUUUUUAAAUAAACACUAGUACUAUGAUGGCAAACCUAUGGCAUGUAUGCCAAAGAUGGCACACAGAGACCUCUCUGUGGGCACGUGUGCCAUCCCUGGCAGUUAGUUACUAGAAAGGCAGAGGGACUCUGGCAUAGCUGCUCCCUUUACCCUCUCUACUUCACCUCCCUGUCCCUCUUUCCUUACUCCCUCCCCUGUCUGGGGUAAGGGAAGGGGGAAGGGCACUUGGUCUCUGGGAGGGAAUGGCAUGGCACAUGGUCUCUAGAAGGUUCUAAAAGGUUCACCACCACUGCACUAGGCUAUUAGAUUCCUGCUUAAGAACUCCUAUUUAGAAGACAUCUAGUAAGUCCCUUUGAACAUCUAUGGAGGCCCUAUGGGAGAACAUGGAUGAAAACUGCAAAAGCACUUCCCUUCCCAAGUGGAUGGAAAACUGUGUCAUUUCCAGCUAACCUUGGCUCUUGCAAGAAAAAACAAGAGGACCAGAGAAUUUCACAUCUGAAAGAGACUUGUGUGGCUCCAUUGAAUUAUGCCCAUGUUUGGACAGGAGACCUCGAACUCUUGCUCAGCCUGACCUUGAAGUCUUUUCGCCUGGGUAGAACUUGGCAGAACGCUGCUCGUCCGAUGCCUCCUUCCGGACGACAGCGAGAAAAGACUUCAGAAGAGAACUUUAAUGGCAAAUCAGAAUGA